GCUAAGAAUAUUCCGCAAUGCACGAAAGUGUGACGGAGCGACGCCGCGUGGACGAUGAAGGCCGGAAGGUUGUAAAGUCCUUUUUAAUAUGAGGAAUAAGGAAGGUGAGAGAAACGCCUUCUGGUGACUGUAGUAUUAGAAUAAGGGGCGGCUAAUUACGUGCCAGCAGCCGCGGUAACACGUAAGCCCCGAGCGUUGUUCGGAAUUAUUGGGCGUAAAGGGCAUGUAGGCGGUUUUGCAAGUCUGGUGUGAAAGGCAGGAGCUCAACUCCUGGACUGCGCUGGAAACUGCAUGACUUGAGUUUCUGAGGGGCACUCGGAAUUCCUGGUGUAGGGGUGAAAUCUGUAGAUAUCAGGAAGAACACCGGUGGCGAAGGCGGGGUGCCAGCAGAAGACUGACGCUGAGGUGCGAAGGUGCGGGGAGCAAACAGG
rnacentral:rRNA from 1 species